rnacentral:rRNA from 1 species
CUACGUGCCAGCAGCCGCGGUAAUACGGAAGGUCCGGGCGUUAUCCGGAUUURUUGGGUUUAAAGGGAGCGUAGGCCGGAGAUUAAGUGUGUUGUGAAAUGUAGACGCUCAACGUCUGACUUGCAGCGCAUACUGGUUUCCUUGAGUACGCACAACGUUGGCGGAAUUCGUCGUGUAGCGGUGAAAUGCUUAGAUAUGACGAAGAACUCCGAUUGCGAAGGCAGCUUACGGGAGCACAACUGACGCUGAAGCUCGAAGGUGCGGGUAUCAAACAGGAUUAGAUACCCUGGUAGUCCGCACAGUAAACGAUGGAUGCCCGUUGUUAGUUCACUUAUGAAUUAGCGACCAAGCGAAAGCAUUAAGCAUCCCACCUGGGGAGUACGCCGGCAACGGUGAAACUCAAAGGAAUUGACGGGGGCCCGCACAAGCGGAGGAACAUGUGGUUUAAUUCGAUGAUACGCGAGGAACCUUACCCGGGCUUGAA